GGGGGACCUUCGGGCCUCUUGCCAUCGGAUGUGCCCAGAUGGGAUUAGCUAGUAGGUGGGGUAACGGCUCACCUAGGCGACGAUCCCUAGCUGGUCUGAGAGGAUGACCAGCCACACUGGAACUGAGACACGGUCCAGACUCCUACGGGAGGCAGCAGUGGGGAAUAUUGCACAAUGGGCGCAAGCCUGAUGCAGCCAUGCCGCGUGUAUGAAGAAGGCCUUCGGGUUGUAAAGUACUUUCAGCGGGGAGGAAGGGAGUAAAGUUAAUACCUUUGCUCAUUGACGUUACCCGCAGAAGAAGCACCGGCUAACUCCGUGCCAGCAGCCGCGGUAAUCCGGAGGGAGCAAGCGUUAUUAGGCAGUUCCCGCGCAUGCUCACGCUGCACUCUCCCC
rnacentral:rRNA from 1 species